rnacentral:rRNA from 1 species
AGAGUUUGAUCCUGGCUCAGGAUGAACGCUGGCGGUAUGCUUAACACAUGCAAGUCGAACGAAAGUUUUUAACUUUAGUGGCGAACGGGUGCGUAAUACGUGAGAAUCUGCCCUUAGGAGGAGUAUAACUGUUGGAAACGACUGCUAACACUCCAUAUGUCGAGAGAUGAAAUAAUUUAUUGCCUAAGGAUGAGCUCGCGCCUGAUUAGCUAGUUGGUGAGGUAAUGGCUCACCAAGGCCACGAUCAGUAGCUGGUUUGAGAGAACGAUCAGCCACACUGGGACUGAGACACGGCCCAGACUCCUCCGGGAGGCAGCAGUGAGGAAUUUUCCGCAAUGGGCGAAAGCCUGACGGAGCAAUACCGCGUGAGGGAUGAAGGAUUUUGGUCUGUAAACCUCUUUUCUCAAGAAAGAAGUUCUGACGGUACUUGAGGAAUAAGCAUCGGCUAACUCCGUGCCAGCAGCCGCGGUAAUACGGGGGAUGCAAGCGUUAUCCGGAAUCAUUGGGCGUAAAGCGCCUGUAGGUUGUUUAAUAAGUCUGUUGUUAAAGACUAGGGCUCAACCCUAGAAAAGCAAUGGAAACUACUAGACUAGAGUAUGGCAGGGGUAGAGGGAAUUUCUAGUGUAGCGGUGAAAUGCGUAGAUAUUAGAAAGAACACCGGUGGCGAAAGCGCUCUACUGGACCAUUACUGACACUCAGAGGCGAAAGCUAGGGUAGCAAAAGGGAUUAGAUACCCCUGUAGUCCUAGCCGUAAACGAUGGAUACUAGAUGUUGCGCUUAUUAUGCAGUAUCGUAGCUAACGCGUUAAGUAUCCCGCCUGGGGAGUACGCUCGCAAGGGUGAAACUCAAAGGAAUUGACGGGGGCCCGCACAAGCGGUGGAGCAUGU